GACGAGCGCUGGCGGCGUGCUUAACACAUGCAAGUCGAACGGUAAGGCCCUUUCGGGGGUACACGAGUGGCGAACGGGUGAGUAACACGUGGGUGAUCUGCCCUGCACUUUGGGAUAAGCCUGGGUAACUGGGUCUAAUACCGGAUAGGACUACGCGAUGCAUGUCGUGUGGUGGAAAGCUUUUGCGGUGUGGGAUGGGCCCGCGGCCUAUCAGCUUGUUGGUGGGGUGAUGGCCUACCAAGGCGACGACGGGUAGCCGGCCUGAGAGGGUGGCCGGCCACACUGGGACUGAGAUACGGCCCAGACUCCUACGGGAGGCAGCAGUGGGGAAUAUUGCACAAUGGGCGCAAGCCUGAUGCAGCGACGCCGCGUGGGGGAUGACGGCCUUCGGGUUGUAAACCACUUUCAGCACAGACGAAGCGUAAGUGACGGUAUGUGCAGAAGAAGCGCCGGCCAACUACGUG
rnacentral:rRNA from 1 species